UACGUAGGUGGCAAGCGUUGUCCGGAUUUAUUGGGCGUAAAGCGAGCGCAGGCGGAAGAAUAAGUCUGAUGUGAAAGCCCUCGGCUUAACCGAGGAACUGCAUCGGAAACUGUUUUUCUUGAGUGCAGAAGAGGAGAGUGGAACUCCAUGUGUAGCGGUGGAAUGCGUAGAUAUAUGGAAGAACACCAGUGGCGAAGGCGGCUCUCUGGUCUGCAACUGACGCUGAGGCUCGAAAGCAUGGGUAGCGAACAGGAUUAGAAACCCGAGUAGU
rnacentral:rRNA from 1 species